rnacentral:rRNA from 1 species
CCUAUGGGUGGCUGCAGUGGGGAAUAUUGGACAAUGGGGGCAACCCUGAUCCAGCCAUGCCGCGUGUGUGAAGAAGGCCCUCGGGUUGUAAAGCACUUUCAGUGAGGAAGAACGCCUGGUGGUUAAUACCCAUCAGGAAAGACAUCACUCACAGAAGAAGCACCGGCUAACUCCGUGCCAGCAGCCGCGGUAAUACGGAGGGUGCGAGCGUUAAUCGGAAUUACUGGGCGUAAAGCGCGCGUAGGUGGCUUGAUAAGCCGGUUGUGAAAGCCCCGGGCUCAACCUGGGAACGGCAUCCGGAACUGUCAAGCUAGAGUGCAGGAGAGGAAGGUAGAAUUCCCGGUGUAGCGGUGAAAUGCGUAGAGAUCGGGAGGAAUACCAGUGGCGAAGGCGGCCUUCUGGACUGACACUGACACUGAGGUGCGAAAGCGUGGGUAGCAAACAGGAUUAGAUACCCUAGUAGUC